rnacentral:lncRNA from 1 species
AUUUUGACUUGCAUCCUGUUUCAUCUGAUAUUGACCUGAAUCCUUUCUUGCACAAGAUCCAAGAACCCUCUCCUGGGGUCUGGUUCUGGAUCCCUUUCUAGUAAGAGAACAGCUUUCCAGUAACAGAACAGGGAACUGGGGAAGUGUCAGAUAAAGGAUCAACAGACUCAUGGUGGUUGACAGUUCAGGAUCUAGAAGACACAGAAAUCAUGGAGUCUCCUAAGGUCUCAACACAGACAAACUCAAGUUCAGUCCUGACCCCUCCUAGAGGCCAGCUUUGGGUCCUCAAAGGAGCCUCCUGUGAAGAAUGCUUCCUGCCGCUGCCUCCCUGUGGGUUCACUUACACAACAAGGCAUUCCUUCAAGAAAGCAGGAGUCCCAGAUUCCAGGGAGCAGCGGGGGACUGUGUGAAAUGUCCUGCCCCAGGAAAAACGAUGUCAGAAGAAGACGCUGGGGACCCAAAGGGAGCUUUCACUGGCCAACCCGUUCAUGUACUGUUCAUGACCUUUCAUGAAGGUUCCCAGCAACCUUCAUGCCCUCAGGGCCUCUGAAAGUAGUCAGACACCCUGAAUUCUGACCCUGGGGAAAGCUGAGGCCAACCUGGACUACUAAGAUGGUCAAAUAUAAAAUAUAACUUGAAGAAAUGCAAUGUUAUUAUGUUUAGGUAUAAACCAUUUAUUGUUUUACCAGAAUAAGUUAACAAAAUGUUGCCUGGUGAAGCACCAGAUUAAGAUUUUAAGAAAUGGAAAAAUAAUUAUUUGAGACUAGCAUAUCAAGAUUUUAAUGAAAUGGAAAUUAUAUAGGACAUUCAUCUCAAACUGGCAGCCUUAGAUAAUUUAGCCCCCAAAGUGAGUUUUUAAAAACAAUUCAAAUUAAUUGCCAACAUUUAAAGAUCCAUAAAUUCCAGGCGAAUAUCAAGAUUUUUAGCUUUUCUUUAAAAUGGCCACAACUCUUUGGACCCCUCUGAUAGAAACUUUAAAAGUUUACAUUUCCAUGCUAAAAAUACAGCUGAGAUACAUCUUAAUACAAUGAUUCUAAAGGGACAGACACUGGACCGAGAUUCUCUGAGUUUGAAUCCUGGCUGUGCCACCUCCUGGUUGGGUGACUGGGCAAGUUAUUAAACCACACUGACCCUUGGUGUCCUCACCUGUAAAUCAGUGAUAAUUAUAGUACUUAUCUCAUAGGGUAGUUACUAUGUGCCUGGCAUAUAAUUAUCAUAUUUAGUAUAAUAUAAUAAUUAUGACAAUAUACUUAUGACAAUAAUAAGCACUGCAUGUUAUUGCUAUUGUGACUAUUUUCCCUUGCAAAUCCUUUCUCCACUGGCAACAUAAAGCUAAUUUUAUAGCCCUGCUAACUUAAAACAAACUCUCUAUGGUAGAACCUAAACAAAUUGUCAGGCCUCUGAGCCUAAGCUAAGCCAUCAUAUCCCCUGUGACCUGCAUGAACACAUCCAGAUGGCUGGUUCCUGCCUUAACUGAUGACAUUCCACCACAAAAGAAGUGAAAAUGGCCUGUUCCUGCCUUAACUGAUAACUAAUUAUCUUGUGAAAUUCCUUCUCCUGGCUCGUCCUGGCUCAAAAGCUCCCUUACUGAGCACCUUGUGACCUCCACUCCUGCCCACCAGAGAACAACCCCCCUUUUUCCUUUACCUACCCAAAUCCUAUAAAACGGCCCCACCCCUAUCUCCUUUCGCUGACUCUCUUUUUGGACUCAGCCCGCCU